rnacentral:rRNA from 1 species
UACAGAGGUGGCAAGCGUUGUUCGGAAUUACUGGGCGUAACGGGCGCGUAGGCGGCCUUCUAAGUCAGACGUGAAAUCCCCCGGCUUAACCUGGGAACUGCGUCUGAUACUGGAAGGCUUGAGUGCGGGAGAGGGAUGUGGAAUUCCAGGUGUAGCGGUGAAAUGCGUAGAUAUCUGGAGGAACACCGGUGGCGAAGGCGGCAUCCUGGACCGACACUGACGCUGAGGCGCGAAAGCUAGGGUAGCAAACGGG